rnacentral:rRNA from 1 species
UACGAAGGGGGCUAGCGUUGUUCGGAAUUACUGGGCGUAAAGGGCGCGCAGGCGGCCCUCCAAGUCAGGCGUGAAAGCCCCGGGCUCAACCCGGGAAUAGCGCUUGAGACUGGGGGGCUUGAGUUCGGGAGAGGAGAGUGGAAUUCCCAGUGUAGAGGUGAAAUUCGUAGAUAUUGGGAAGAACACCGGUGGCGAAGGCGGCUCUCUGGACCGAUACUGACGCUGAGGCGCGAAAGCGUGGGGAGCAAACAGG